GAUGAACGCUGGCGGCGUGCCUAAUACAUGCAAGUCGAGCGAACAGACGAGGAGCUUGCUCCUCUGACGUUAGCGGCGGACGGGUGAGUAACACGUGGAUAACCUACCUAUAAGACUGGGAUAACUUCGGGAAACCGGAGCUAAUACCGGAUAAUAUAUUGAACCGCAUGGUUCAAUAGUGAAAGACGGUUUUGCUGUCACUUAUAGCGGGAUUCGCGCCGCAUUAGCUAGUUGGUAAGGUAACGGCUUACCAAGGCAACGAUGCGUAGCCGACCUGAGAGGGUGAUCGGCCACACUGGAACUGAGACACGGUCCAGACUCCUACGGGAGGCAGCAGUAGGGAAUCUUCCGCAAUGGGCGAAAGCCUGACGGAGCAACGCCGCGUGAGUGAUGAAGGUCUUCGGAUCGUAAAACUCUGUUAUUAGGGAAGAACAAAUGUGUAAGUAACUAUGCACGUCUUGACGGUACCUAAUCAGAAAGCCACGGCUAACUACGUG
rnacentral:rRNA from 1 species